rnacentral:rRNA from 1 species
UGGGGAAUAUUGCACAAUGGGCGCAAGCCUGAUGCAGCCAUGCCGCGUGUAUGAAGAAGGCCUUCGGGUUGUAAAGUACUUUCAGCGGGGAGGAAGGGAGUAAAGUUAAUACCUUUGCUCAUUGACGUUACCCGCAGAAGAAGCACCGGCUAACUCCGUGCCAGCAGCCGCGGUAAUACGGAGGGUGCAAGCGUUAAUCGGAAUUACUGGGCGUAAAGCGCACGCAGGCGGUUUGUUAAGUCAGAUGUGAAAUCCCCGGGCUCAACCUGGGAACUGCAUCUGAUACUGGCAAGCUUGAGUCUCGUAGAGGGGGGUAGAAUUCCAGGUGUAGCGGUGAAAUGCGUAGAGAUCUGGAGGAAUACCGGUGGCGAAGGCGGCCCCCUGGACGAAGACUGACGCUCAGGGGCGAAAGCGUGGGGAGCAAACAGG